GACGAACCGUCCGAACGUUAUUCGGAAUCACUGGGCUUAAAGGGUGCGUAGGCGGCGCGGAAAGUUGGGUGUGAAAUCCCUCGGCUCAACCGAGGAACUGCGCCCAAAACUACCGUGCUCGAGGGAGAUAGAGGUGAGCGGAACUUAGGGUGGAGCGGUGAAAUGCGUAGAUAUUGGGAGGAACACCAGUGGCGAAGGCGGCUCGCUGGACCGGUUCUGACGCUGAUGCGCGAAAGCGUGGGGAGCAAACGGG
rnacentral:rRNA from 1 species